GUAGGUAAGAUACCUAACUAUCGGUGGAAACACUGAGGAAAGUCCGUCCACUAAACUUUAGGAAAGUUUAAUCAAAAUUAGCCUAAAACAUAUCGGCUGCCUAUCUUUUAAUAGGUUCCAGAAAUGGAAGGCAACCGCUCAGAAACGAAACGGCCUUUUAUCGCACUUUUGGUAAAGCUUUUACUAAAAGGUUUAAAGAUGUGGCUUGAGAAGUUUCUCGCAAGAGAAAUGAGUUAACCAGCUGAAUAGAUAAAAGGAUGCGAUGAAACGGCGAGACCCUGCUAGUGCAAGUCUUUGAGACGCUUAGUAGAAUGUUAGGAUAAUCCUUCCUUAAUGGGGAUUAACAGAAGGCGGCUUAUUUCUUACCUAC
rnacentral:RNase_P_RNA from 1 species